rnacentral:rRNA from 1 species
UACGAAGGACCCAAGCGUUAUCCGGAUUUAUUGGGUUUAAAGGGUGCGUAGGCGGGUUAUUAAGUCAGUGGUGAAAGCCUGCGGCUUAACUGCAGAAUUGCCAUUGAUACUGAUGAUCUUGAGUAUGAUUGAGGUGGGCGGAAUGUGUCAUGUAGCGGUGAAAUGCUUAGAUAUGACACAGAACACCGAUUGCGAAGGCAGCUCACUAAGCCAUAACUGACGCUGAUGCACGAAAGCGUGGGGAGCAAACAGG